GACGAACUCUGGCGGCGCGCCUAACACAUGCAAGUCGAACGAGAGAUGAGGAGCUUGCUCUUCAAAUCGAGUGGCGAACGGGUGAGUAACGCGUGAGGAACCUGCCUCAAAGAGGGGGACAACAGUUGGAAACGACUGCUAAUACCGCAUAAGCCCACAGCUCGGCAUCGAGCAGAGGGAAAAGGAGCAAUCCGCUUUGAGAUGGCCUCGCGUCCGAUUAGCUAGUUGGUGAGGUAACGGCCCACCAAGGCAACGAUCGGUAGCCGGACUGAGAGGUUGAACGGCCACAUUGGGACUGAGACACGGCCCAGACUCCUACGGGAGGCAGCAGUGGGGAAUAUUGCACAAUGGGGGAAACCCUGAUGCAGCGACGCCGCGUGGAGGAAGAAGGUCUUCGGAUUGUAAACUCCUGUUGUUGAGGAAGAUAAUGACGGUACUCAACAAGGAAGUGACGGCUAACUACGUGCCAGCAGCCGCGGUAAAACGUAGGUCACAAGCGUUGUCCGGAAUUACUGGGUGUAAAGGGAGCGCAGGCGGGAGAACAAGUUGGAAGUGAAAUCCAUGGGCUCAACCCAUGAACUGCUUUCAAAACUGUUUUUCUUGAGUAGUGCAGAGGUAGGCGGAAUUCCCGGUGUAGCGGUGGAAUGCGUAGAUAUCGGGAGGAACACCAGUGGCGAAGGCGGCCUACUGGGCACCAACUGACGCUGAGGCUCGAAAGUGUGGGUAGCAAACAGGAUUAGAUACCCUGGUAGUCCACACCGUAAACGAUGAUUACUAGGUGUUGGAGGAUUGACCCCUUCAGUGCCGCAGUUAACACAAUAAGUAAUCCACCUGGGGAGUACGACCGCAAGGUUGAAACUCAAAGGAAUUGACGGGGGCCCGCACAAGCAGUGGAGUAUGUGGUUUAAUUCGACGCAACGCGAAGAACCUUACCAAGUCUUGACAUCCUGCGACGCACAUAGAAAUAUGUGUUUCCUUCGGGACGCAGAGACAGGUGGUGCAUGGUUGUCGUCAGCUCGUGUCGUGAGAUGUUGGGUUAAGUCCCGCAACGAGCGCAACCCUUAUGGUCAGUUACUACGCAAGAGGACUCUGGCCAGACUGCCGUUGACAAAACGGAGGAAGGUGGGGAUGACGUCAAAUCAUCAUGCCCUUUAUGACUUGGGCUACACACGUACUACAAUGGCGUUAAACAAAGAGAAGCAAGACCGCGAGGUGGAGCAAAACUCAGAAACAACGUCCCAGUUCGGACUGCAGGCUGCAACUCGCCUGCACGAAGUCGGAAUUGCUAGUAAUCGUGGAUCAGCAUGCCACGGUGAAUACGUUCCCGGGCCUUGCACA
rnacentral:rRNA from 1 species